rnacentral:miRNA from 17 species
AAAGUUCUGUAACACUUCGACU